rnacentral:rRNA from 1 species
AACGAACGCUGGCGGCAUGCCUAACACAUGCAAGUCGAACGAAGACUUCGGACUUAGUGGCGAACGGGUGCGUAAGGCGAGGGAAUCUGCCCUUGGGUACGGUAUAACUCAGAGAAAUGUGUGCUAAUACCGUAUAAUGUCUUAGGACCAAAGAUUUAUUGCCAAAGGAUGAGCCCGCGUAAUAUUAGCUAGUUGGUGGGGUAAAAGCCUACCAAGGCGACGAUCUUUAGCUGGUCUGAGAGGAUGAUCAGCCACACUGGGACUGAGACACGGCCCAGACUCCUACGGGAGGCAGCAGUUGGGAAUAUUGGACACUGGGCGAAAGCCUGAUCCAGCAAUGCCGCGUGAGUGAUGAAGGCCCUAGGAUUGUAAAGCUCUUUUACCAGGGAUGAUAAUGACGGUACCUGGAGAAUAAGCUCCGGCUAACUCCGUG